rnacentral:rRNA from 1 species
GAGCUAACGCGUUAAGUCGACCGCCUGGGGAGUACGGCCGCAAGGUUAAAACUCAAGUGAAUUGACGGGGGCCCGCACAAGCGGUGGAGCAUGUGGUUUAAUUCGAUGCAACGCGAAGAACCUUACCUGGUCUUGACAUCCACGGAAGUUUUCAGAGAUGAGAAUGUGCCUUCGGGAACCGUGAGACAGGUGCUGCAUGGCUGUCGUCAGCUCGUGUUGUGAAAUGUUGGGUUAAGUCCCGCAACGAGCGCAACCCUUAUCCUUUGUUGCCAGCGGUCCGGCCGGGAACUCAAAGGAGACUGCCAGUGAUAAACUGGAGGAAGGUGGGGAUGACGUCAAGUCAUCAUGGCCCUUACGACCAGGGCUACACACGUGCUACAAUGGCGCAUACAAAGAGAAGCGACCUCGCGAGAGCAAGCGGACCUCAUAAAGUGCGUCGUAGUCCGGAUUGGAGUCUGCAACUCGACUCCAUGAAGUCGGAAUCGCUAGUAAUCGUGGAUCAGAAUGCCACGGUGAAUACGUUCCCGGGCCUUGUACACACCGCCCGUC